UUACCCGGUCUAAUAAAUGCAAAAAACAGAUAAAAUAAUAAAAUAAAAAUCGUCCAUAAUGUUUGAUUACAAACGGGUUACAAGGCCCAAACCUAAAGCCCAAUUACAGUUCAGCCCAAAUAGGCAAGAACAGUUUCUGAAACCCUAGCAACAGCAGGAUCUUCGCGCCGCAACCAUCAAGAGCCGAAUCUCCAUGCAAUCACCUGCAAACACAAGAAAGGAAAGAAAAAUCAAAGAAUCGAAAUCAAAUCAACAUUGGAAGAUUUCUUUUUAUUUCUUUCUUUUCUUCUUGUAUUGACGAUCGCUAUAAAAGCGAUUUUGACGCACUGUAACAAGGAUCGGAUUUUGGGAAAUCAAUAAAAAAAAACACAAUUUUUUAACACAAAGGGAGAAUCAAUCAAAACUCAAAAGGUUGAUAUUUUAUUUUAUUUUUUCAUCGAUUACUUCUUCGUUUUUCUUCUAUUUUUUAUUAUUUUUUUAACUUUACUAAGGCAGGAUAAAAUGAAAAGGGAGGAACUUACCUUCGUUUGCCUUUGAAACGCCAUUGGAAGAUCGAGGGAGCCACCCCCGAGGAUCGGUGGCCGGAAGCCGUAAGGUUUUCACGAGUUCUUCGCGUUUUCUGCUGGAUUUUGGGUAUUUUGAGCCCAGAUCUGGGCUUGGGAAGGUUUAAAAAGCCGAAAGGGGUUUUUUUUCUUUUUUCGGCCAGCGCAGACGGUGGUGCCGGUGCCGGAGAACGGCGGCCGGCGCGGUGGCCGAUGACCGUCCGAUGAC
rnacentral:lncRNA from 1 species